rnacentral:rRNA from 1 species
AUUGAACGCUGGCGGCAUGCCUUACACAUGCAAGUCGAACGGCAGCACGGGGGCAACCCUGGUGGCGAGUGGCGAACGGGUGAGUAACAUAUCGGAACAUACCCUAGAGUGGGGAUAACGUAGCGAAAGUUACGCUAAUACCGCAUACGAUCUAAGGAUGAAAGUGGGGGAUCUUCGGACCUCAUGCUCAUGGAGUGGCCGAUAUCUGAUUAGCUAGUUGGUGAGGUAAAGGCUCACCAAGGCGACGAUCAGUAGCUGGUUUGAGAGAACGACCAGCCACACUGGAACUGAGACACGGUCCAGACUCCUACGGGAGGCAGCAGUGGGGAAUUUUUGGGACAAUGGGGGGCAACCCUGAUCCAGCAAUGCCGCGUGAGUGAAGAAGGCCUUCGGGUGUAAAGACUCUUUUGUCUAGGGAAGAAACGGUAGAGUUCUAAUACAGCUUGCUAAUGACGGUACCUGAAGAAUAAAGCGCCGGCGUAACUACGUGCCAGCAGCCGCGGUAA